rnacentral:lncRNA from 10 species
CUUCCCUCAUUUACAGAUGAAACAAAGACUUAAGCCUUAAGAUACUUUACUGUCUAGUGUCACUCAACUUACAAGUGGCAGACAUAGAACUGAGAAGUCUUCUUACUUUCCCCUUCACUGUAGGAACCCUUGUCAUCUGUAGGGGAGCUCUACAGAUUCCUAUCAGAACCUGGCUUCUGUAUUUACCAUGUACCUGGAGCAUUGGUUUGGCAGCUGAACCAGGUUGUUUUCCAGAUUGGUACAUGCUCUCCCUCUUUGGCACUGGAGCUAUUCUGAUGCGUGGAGCAGGCUGUACUAUUAAUGACAUGUGGGACCAGGACUAUGAUAAAAAGGUUACAAGAACAGCCAAUCGUCCAAUAGCCGCUGGAGACAUUUCAACUUUUCAGUCCUUUGUUUUUCUUGGGGGA